GAUGAACGCUGACAGAAUGCUUAACACAUGCAAGUCAACUUGGUGGCGGACGGGUGAGUAACGCUUAAAGACUGCCUCACAGCUAGGGACAACAUUUGGAAUCGAAUGCUAAUACCCAAUACUGUGAGAGGCUUUGCGUCCCAUUAGCUGGUUGGAGAGGUAACGGCUCACCAAGGCGAUGAUGGGUAGACGGCCUGAGAGGGUGAUCGGCAACAAGGGGACUGAGACACGGCCAGGACUCCUACGGAGGCAGCAGUGGAGAAUAUUGCACAAUGGGCGCAAGCCUGAUGCAGCCAUGCCGCGUGUAUGAAGAAGGCCCUAGGGUUGUAAAGUACUUUCAGUCGGGAGGCGUCACCGACAGAAGAAGCACCGGCUAACUCCGUGCCAGCAGCCGCGGUAAUUC
rnacentral:rRNA from 1 species